AUUCCUUACUCUACAUGUCAGAGUAUGUUCUCUCUCUCUCUCUACAUCGCUCUCUCCAGGGCUGUCUACCUGCUUACCUGUGUUUAGGUCCUAAUACCGAGGUGGUACCUGGUAGUUUCAGGGCCUUCUACCUGCUACCUGCUCUCUGUGUUCAGGUCCUAAUACGGGGGUGGUACCUGGUAGUUUCAGGGCCUUCUACCUGCUACCUGCUUACCUGUGUUUAGGUCCUAAUACCGAGGUGGUACCUGGUAGUUUCAGGGCCUUCUACCUGCUACCUGCUCUCUGUGUUCAGGUCCUAAUACGGGGGUGGUACCUGGUAGUUUCAGGGCCUUCUACCUGCUACCUGCUCUCUGUGUUUAGGUCCUAAUACCGAGGUGGUACCUGGUAGUUUCAGGGCCUUCUACCUGCUACCUGCUCUCUGUGUUUAGGUCCUAAUACCGAGGUGGUACCUGGUAGUUUCAGGGGCUUCUACCUGCUCUGGAUAACUGUGGCUGCUUCAGGAUGUUGUAUGGUCUUUUUGUAUCUGGGGGACGGCGAACUGGGUUGGGGACGGGGUGGGAUGUGUUUUGGGAUAUAUUAGCGGUGUUUCCGUACAGAGAACUAAUGUUUUUGUUGUGUUUUUAAAAACAUGUGCAGCAGAGAGGUCAUGAAGCUGUUUUCUAUAAACCCACAAUCCUGUUGUAUUUGUUGACAUUGUGUGACUCAAAUGGCACCCUAUUUCCCUAUGUAGUGCACUACUUUUGACAAGGGCCCAUAGGGAAUAGAGUGCACUUUAGGACAGAACCAUAUUGAUGUCACUUCACCUGACUGAUCUGGGAGCCAUGACAACAUAUCAUUGGUUAAAUCAUCACAGUGGAUGGAGUAAGGUCUACUGUCCCUCUCCUGUUCCCUUUAACCAAAAUGGCAAACUAGGGCUUUGAUACAUAAUAAUUAGGGUGCUCCAAUGACAAACAAACGUCUGCUAUGACAUUAUGUUAUAGUAACCUGAAGAGACAGACUUCAUCUCUUUGUUUUCCUUCUCUAGUCUGCUUGGCUCUCAUUCUGUUCUCCUAGAAAACGCUUGAUGUUAACAGCAGGGUUGGGCUCAAUUCCUCUUCACUUCAAUCAGAUCAGGAAGUGGAAUAAUCUCUAAAUCUUCCAUCUCCCUUAGUCGGAUGAAUCUCUUCUGUGCUGUGACUUCUUCAAGGAUCCAGUUGUUUUUUUGAAAACAAUGAACAAUUUUCUAUUCCUGAUUUGAGUUUGAAUCCACCUCCUCCUGAAUUGAUUAAGGCUAAAAUUGACCCCUAACCCUGCUUCACUGAAACAUUUCAUUAGCUCAGCGGGCUAACAGUCCAGUUCAAUACAACUAGGCUGGGUAUUCUUUCUGUGUAUUGUCCAGGACCUUUGUUCAUGCCAACAUCUCAACCACAUUUUGGGAGAAAGAAUGAAUGAAUCGUUCAUUAACAGGUCAGACGUCAUCAGCUGUAUGGAAGUAAUGUCUGUACAUAAACCAACCAGCUCCAUUCAUCAUCUUCAAGCUUAGUGUGAGAUAGAAGAGGGACCCAAAUCGUGUUUUCUCCCCCAAAAAAAUGUUUCAGAACGACGAUACCGUGGAAGAAAAAUGUGCAAAUGUACUUUUUAGAAGCAUGUUCAGUUUUACAGUUUGACAACAUCCUUUGUAUAAAUAUCAGUUAUUAUUGUUGAAAGUGUAAAUGGAAAUACUUGUUUGGAAAAUAAACAAAACAAUGUGUGUUCAUCA